ACUAUCCGUUAUAUCUGUGGCAUCAUGUCGCGCGCGCGCUUGUGAUAAGCGCGAGUGGGUACUUGGCUUGCUGAUUGGCUAGUGAUUAUGCGCAAGUGUCAUGCACAUUUUGGGAGAAAAAAGCGCACACCAUGAUAUCGCUUAUUCAGCUGAACGAUAAGCUUCCAGUAAGGCAGCUAACGGCGAGAAAUGUAGUUCAAGGAAAGAAACGAUACGAUGAAAAGAUAAUAUCGUAAGUCAUGUUAUGUUAAAGUAUUCUCUUGUUGUUAAAUUCAGAAAUACAGCGCUUAUAUAGGUAAGCAGGACUUUACUCCUUAAUACCUGCAAUUAGACUCAAACCCAGCACAGUAAUAUUCCUGUCUCACUUGGAAAAUUCUAUUUUAUUUAGAUGCCACAGCACUCGUCUCCACAUUAUAUUUUAAGUUUGUGUCUUACAGAUAAAAAAUAAAGGUUAUUUAUUGACUCUUUUUAUUUACGAAUACUUACCUUUAUCGUUGAUUGAUUGGAGGAUAUCGCGUCUGGAAGGAAGGUCAACCCAGUAAUUUGAAAGAGAUUCCAAAGUUAUACGAGGCAUUGAAACACAAUGUAAGACUGACAGGCCAGCCUGAACUCUUGGGAAUACACUCAUGUAUCACGAAGACCGACAAGAUUGAGAGGACGAAGAGUGUGGACGAAAGAAAAAAUUAAUUGGACGGGUGGGUCUUCUUGUACAAAGUGGAUAGUAGAUCACGAUCUGUUCCUUUUGAACGCAUUGUUACGGGCACACAUUCCCGUACAUCAAAUACACCGUCUUACCACCACAAAGGAGCAAAAACAGAACUUCCAACGACGACGGACUCUGUGGGGAGGUAUUGACAGCGCUUCACAUAGCCCGGAGAAAUUUCAGAACACGCUGAAUAUUGGCCACUAAUCACCGCUAAAGCGUAUACACUAGCUUCCGUGAACCCUCCGAAUACAU